GACAGAACAGUAAAAGAACCAGAGGCAUGUAGAAUGCAAAGUGACUCAGGUAUUCCAGGUAACCCAUGACAUAUUGUAGAGUAAUUACAUUAAGAUUUCUGGCUGGCUAAUAAAAAUUGCAGGAGAAACUGCGCAAGUUUUGGAUAAGAAACGAGAAACGUCUGGGCUGGCUGAGCGUUAACCUUAGUGCAAAUGAAGGAAAAAACGGCUGGCUCAUUUUGGGAUGGUGAAGAGAAGGUGCCCUCUCCUACGCAAGAACUAACACACUUGGGGCUGGAGUCAGCCGAAUCUCCCAACGCUGGAAGUUUCUCAGGGUGCCUCCUUGUUGCUGCUUCAGAACAAAGAACCAAACCUUCCUCUCCAACAACAGCUCAGGUACAAGUGUUUCCUACGCAUAAAGUACUGGGCAGUCAGCUGAAAGACAAGGGAUUUACACAGAUCAACCUUGGCCUCAGGAGAUCAGCCUCCCAGGUCUGUGAUACACACACUCCUCCUUGGGGCAGCUCAGAGCUGAAUACCAAAAUUUAAGGCCUCUCGAUUUCUUUCGGAGUAGUUUUUCUCUCUUCAUUGACUACAGGGGAAGCCUAAAGAAGACACUGGUCUCUCCCAGUUAUACCCUGCCUUGGUGAAUAACUUCAGAGACAGUCUCUCUCACUGCUCCUCAUGUAUGUUAACAGAAUGGCCUUAAAGAGUUUCUGGUCAAAUAAACUUAAUUUUCUAUGAGAGAAAAAAAAUUAC
rnacentral:lncRNA from 1 species